UAUGUGAAAGACCCAGUCGUCGACAUCACUGAUGGACUGGUUUCUUUUACUUAAAUUCUUGGCUUCCUCUUUUAGCUACAUAUCUCCUAAACUAAGGUUUUAAGUAGUUUAAUGGGCUUUCCUUAGCUCAUUUUUCUUUGGUUGUGUUAAUAUUUUGCAUCUAACACAAAUUUACAAGCAAUCCCCGACGCCUGAACACGCAUAUGGUUAACAUCCUUCAUCUUUUCUUGCGUAGCAUACGUACAUAUCAUAAUCAUUCUUUUCAAAUGAUGGUUUUUCUCUCUUGCAGUUUGGAGACAACUUCUAAAGGAGAAUAGGGACUUUUUUCAAGCAUAUUUCAGUGCUACUGCUCAUGGUCAUAGCCCAUACAACGCAAGUCCAUGUUUUCGGACAUUGCCAUGGUUGGCGAGGAAGAGACAACGGAAAGACGGGAAAGCAACAAAGUUCUGUAGGAGAAGUUAUGGUUGGGGUCGAUCAUAGCAUCGAUUUUUUAGGGUUUUUAUUAAGUUGAUUUCAUUUUGUCACUUUUCUUAUGAUGAUCAGACGCCAGCUAUGGAAUUAGUU